AUUGAACGCUGGCGGCAGGCUUAACACAUGCAAGUCGAGCGAGCGGCGGACGGGUGAGUAAUGUCUGGGAAACUGCCUGAUGGAGGGGGAUAACUACUGGAAACGGUAGCUAAUACCGCAUACCAUCAGAUGUGCCCAGAUGGGAUUAGCUAGUAGGUGGGGUAAUGGCUCACCUAGGCGACGAUCCCUAGCUGGUCUGAGGGGAUGACGAGCCACACUGGAACUGAGACACGGGCCAGACCCCUAGGGGGGGCAGCAGAGGGGAAUAUUGCACAAUGAGCGAAAGCCUGAUGCAGCCAGGCAGGGUGUGUGAAGAAGGCCUUCGGGUUGUAAAGCACUUUCAGCGAGGAGACGUGACUAGCAGAAGAAGCACCGGCUAACUCCGUGCAAGCAGCCGCGGUAAUA
rnacentral:rRNA from 1 species